CGUCUCUACCCUCAUGUGUAGACUCAGCAGAGUCAAAGCCACAUCUAGCUCAGAGGACUCUGUGUUUCAGGGUCUCAUCUCUGGUCCUUUGCUGACGUCUCAUGUGUCCAGGCUAUCAUGGGUGGAGCCAUAGAGAAGCAAGGUCACAAGGUUUCAGCAAGGUCUUUCUCAACUUACUUAAAUUGUGGCUGGAAAGUGGAGGCCAUGCUGAGCCUCUGAAGGAGGACGGGGGAAGUUGUGACACAGCUCCAUCUGGCCCAUGAAACUGUGUGAAAGCAGGACACUUGGCUAUCCAGAACAUAUCAACUCAAGUAUGGAAAAAAAUCCAUAUCCAUAUAGAAAGAAAGACUGGAAGGAAAUACACCUGUAUAUGUUAUUAAUGGCUACUGAUCAACUGUGAGAUUUUGAGGUAUUGUUUAUUCAUUUUUCUAUAUUUCCAUAUUUGAUAUAUUAUGUAUUCACUUUCCCAUAUCUUUAUGACUUUUUUCUCAGAACAAAUUAUUUUUAUUCAAUUACUUUAUAUAUCUUAUAGCAAAAGUUAAAACAUGUUUGGAAGAAUUCUGAUGACACAGAAAGAACACAGCUUAAAAAUCAAAGUUCUUUUCUCCUCACAAGUUUUCCUGCAACUGGACAUCAUACUGACAAUAGCUAUUAAGUAUUUAAAUAAAAUUUUCCACUGUUUUCUGUAAAUUAAUAAAAAAGGCAUACAUAAAAAUGAUUUAUUUUGUUUCAGGUUUUACAGAAAUAGGAUCAUAUUCUGUGGCUUUCUCCUUUCAAUAAUAUAUUUGGACAUUGUCCACAUAAUUCAUAUGUCACUUUAAAAUGACAUGUAUAUAUUGAAUUAAUGUUUAUUAAUUCAUUUCCAUAUUGCCAGAUUUUUUAGAUUGUUUCUAAUUUUUUAUUGUUAUCAUAAUGGUGCCUAAAAGUUCCUGUAUGUAUAUCAAAGUUCCUUGAAAAGUACUUUUGUAAGAGUCCUAGGAAUAAAAAUAAUGGAUUACAUGUUAUAAUAUUUAAAUUUUCAUAAAGAUUGACAAACUGCUCUCCAAAAGCUUGUUUAUUUUCAUUUCCAGUAUAGCUGCAAGAGUGAUCAUUUGCCAUAUUCCUACCAACACUGGAUAAAUCUUUUCAACUUUUUCUAAUUAAAUAUGAAAAUGAAAACGACAGUAUGUCACUUUACCGAAUUGAACAUCUUUUCAUUAUUCUACCCAUUGAUCACUUUGUCCCUUUAAUGUGUGAAGUAGCCACCCACAUCUUUUAUGUAUUUUUCAAAUUAUCUUUCCUAUUGAUUCUCAGUUCUCUACACUGUGCACAUUUUAACAUUGA
rnacentral:lncRNA from 1 species